UACGUAGGGUCCGAGCGUUGUCCGGAAUUACUGGGCGUAAAGAGCUCGUAGGUGGUUUGUCGCGUCGUCUCUGAAAUUCCGGGGCUUAACUCCGGGCGUGCAGGCGAUACGGGCAUAACUUGAGUACUGUAGGGGAGACUGGAAUUCCUGGUGUAGCGGUGAAAUGCGCAGAUAUCAGGAGGAACACCGGUGGCGAAGGCGGGUCUCUGGGCAGUAACUGACGCUGAGGAGCGAAAGCAUGGGUAGCGAACAGGAUUAGAUACCCCCUGUAGUCCCU
rnacentral:rRNA from 1 species